rfam:Populus trichocarpa isolate Nisqually-1 chromosome 2, whole genome shotgun sequence.
UAAUAUGUCUAUGGUAGAUUCUCAUCUAGUUGUGGUAGAUUCACAUCCUACUACUUAGAAUAACCUGUUAUCUCAAACCUGGCUAUAUCAUUCUCCCAAAGUUGAAGAUAACUUGUUCUUGAGUUCUGUUU